rnacentral:rRNA from 1 species
UGGGGAAUUUUGGACAAUGGGCGAAAGCCUGAUCCAGCAAUGCCGCGUGUGUGAAGAAGGCCUUCGGGUUGUAAAGCACUUUUGUCCGGAAAGAAAUCCUUGGCUCUAAUACAGUCGGGGGAUGACGGUACCGGAAGAAUAAGCACCGGCUAACUACGUGCCAGCAGCCGCGGUAAUACGUAGGGUGCAAGCGUUAAUCGGAAUUACUGGGCGUAAAGCGUGCGCAGGCGGUUUGCUAAGACCGAUGUGAAAUCCCCGGGCUCAACCUGGGAACCGCAUUGGUGACUGGCAGGCUAGAGUAUGGCAGAGGGGGGCUAGAAUUCCACGUGUAGCAGUGAAAUGCGUAGAGAUGUGGAGGAAUACCGAUGGCGAAGGCAGCCCCCUGGGCCAAUACUGACGCUCAUGCACGAAAGCGUGGGGAGCAAACAGGAUUAGAUACCCUGGUAGUCCACGCCCUAAACGAUGUCAACUAGUUGUUGGGGAUUCAUUUCCUUAGUAACGUAGCUAACCGCGUGAA